rnacentral:rRNA from 1 species
CAGCAGCCGCGGGAAAACGUAGGGCGCAAGCGUUGUCCGGAAUUAUUGGGCGUAAAGAGCUCGUAGGCGGUCUGUCGCGUCUGGUGUGAAAUCCCGAGGCUCAACCUCGGGCUUGCAUCGGGUACGGGCAGACUAGAGUGCGGUAGGGGAGACUGGAAUUCCUGGUGUAGCGGUGGAAUGCGCAGAUAUCAGGAGGAACACCGAUGGCGAAGGCAGGUCUCUGGGCCGCAACUGACGCUGAGGAGCGAAAGCAUGGGGAGCGAACAGGAUUAGAUACCCGAGUAGUCCCUGUCUCUUAUAC